CUGCCGUUGAGGAGUCCCACAAUAGGACGAAACGGUUGUCCGGUGC
rnacentral:hammerhead_ribozyme from 1 species